ACUCAAAUGAAUUGACGGGGACCCGCACAAGCAGUGGAUCAUGUGGUUUAAUUCGAUGCUACGCGAAAAACCUUACCUACCCUUGCAUCCCAUUGACCGCUACAGAAAUGUAGCUUUGGAGCAAUCCACAGUGGAGACAGGUGUUGCAUGGCUGUCGUCAGCUCGUGUCGUGAGAUGUUAGGUUAAGUCCUUCAACGAGCGCAACCCUCAUCCUUAUUUGCCAUCGGGUUAUGCCGGGAACUAUAAGGAAACUGCCCGCGACAAGCGGGAGGAAGGUGAGGAUGAUGUCAAGUCAUCAUGGCCCUUAUGGGUAGGGCUACACACAUGAUACAAUGGUGGUUCACAGCAGGAAGCCAAGCAGCAAUGCGGAGCAAAUCCUUAAAAGCCAUCUCAGUUCAGAUCGAGGGCUGCAACUCGCCCUCGUGAAGUUGGAAUUGCUAGUAAUCGUAGAUCAGCAUGCUACGGUGAAUACGUUCUCGGGUCUUGUACACACCGCCCGU
rnacentral:rRNA from 1 species